UUCUUGGACUGCAGGAAGUGAAAGAUCCCCAGAGUGGGAAGACCCUCACUCAAGUCUCGGGAUAAGCCAACACCCAAAUAAUUCAAGAAAGACC
rnacentral:pre_miRNA from 11 species